rnacentral:rRNA from 1 species
AGGACGAACGCUGGCGGCGUGCUUAACACAUGCAAGUCGAGCGGUAAGGCCUUUCGGGGUACACGAGCGGCGAACGGGUGAGUAACACGUGGGUGAUCUGCCCUGCACUUCGGGAUAAGCCUGGGAAACUGGGUCUAAUACCGGAUAUGACCUCAGGUUGCAUGACUUGGGGUGGAAAGAUUUAUCGGUGCAGGAUGGGCCCGCGGCCUAUCAGCUUGUUGGUGGGGUAAUGGCCUACCAAGGCGACGACGGGUAGCCGACCUGAGAGGGUGACCGGCCACACUGGGACUGAGACACGGCCCAGACUCCUACGGGAGGCAGCAGCGGGGAAUAUUGCACAAUGGGCGAAAGCCUGAUGCAGCGACGCCGCGUGAGGAUGACGGCCUUCGGGUUGUAAACCUCUUCAGCAGGACGAAGCGCAAGUGACGGUACCUGCAGAAGAAGCACCGGACUAACUACGUGCCAGCAGCCGC